GUUGCCGAGACUAAGGAGAUAAAUAGUUGUUUUUAUUUUAUUUUUAAUUUAUUAUUUAUCUUAGUUUUCUUAUCUUUUUAAAUUCGAAACCUUUUUAGAUUAGAUUAGGUUAGUUUUUAUUCUAUCACCCUACUACUAUAAAUAUGGAGAUUAGGGAAACUUUUAAGGGCCGAAAAUAGGGAAAAACUAGGUUAAUUUUCUGUUCUAUUGGUGUGUGAGAGAGCUCCUCUGUAGAAGUUUUUCUUUCUCCUCCAAUUUUCUAACCAUUAUUUACCUACAUUCACACGCUAAACACCUAAUUUAGUUAGUUUAAUUAAUCAAUUCACCAAAGUUAUUUUAUUUUAUUUAUUUCAAUUCAUACAAACUGUGGUUUACCAGAAAGGAGAGAAACAAGAACGAAGUGGGUAUAAUCAUAGACAGGAC
rnacentral:misc_RNA from 1 species